CUGACUAGCUGGACCGUGGUAGUAGCGACGAACGUGACAUUUCCGAGUUACCUUUGUAUCCCACAUCUCGUUAGCAGGAAGGGUAGGUUCAUAGGUGCGGGUCGAACAUCCUUUGUGGUGUCUAGAUUCCGUGAGCCUCCCCAAUAGAAUAGUAGAUCAUCCUUACCAAGGUUAGAACGAGACUACGGUUGUAGUCUUCUCUAUACAUCGCUCACAUCGAGAAACAUUCUUUGUAGCCUAAAGGGAUAGUAGCAAUAGAUUUGGUUAGUCAGAUGCACCCUUUCUCCCAGUGGUAAAAAUAUAAAAAUGAACUCUGGAAAACCUCCUGGGUGAAAUGCUCACCGAUAUUCGUGCGCUUGCGGAUCAUUUUCUUAUUGCGUUACCAAAUAUCAACAAGCAUCUCUAGCACCGUAGCUGGGGAGAAAGACGGUUUGCUGAGAUAACUUUAAGUCUUGCUAUUAUCUUGUAUUAUACUUUUAUACUUUUAUUCUUUUAUCUUUUUAUUUUUUCCAUUUUUAUGGAUAACUCAAAUUCCAUACCUGUUACUGAAUUCUUUGCACCUUCGGAGACCAGCCAUAGACCAUGGGAGUCAACAAGUCCUGCCCCUAAUUAUGAUCUGUGUCCGGAGUUGAUUGCAAUAGGUCAAAAUCAACCCUUUUCUAUAGCCGAGGUCCUAUCUUUUAAUCAAGAAGAUAAUGCACUUUUAGCUACACCUAGGGAAUCUAAAUCUUUCUAUAAAUUCUGGUUUAGACCUAGCCCAACAAGACCAUGUUUUUUCUCGAUAUUUUUACAUUGGUCUUAAUCAUAUACCCUUUGGUAGAGUCUUUCUUUCUUUAUCUAUUAGUAAAGGAAGUUAGGUCUUCAUUCGUAGACAUCCUUCUUGCACUAGUCUUCAUAGAAAAAUCUUAGAGAUAGAGAAGUAAUCAUCUCCCAGACGAGGAAAGGAAGUUUCAAUAGCCAAUUUCCAAACAUUUGAAUCCCAUGAUUCAGCUAUCCAACCCAUCCUUGAGCUUAAUAAUUUUUACUAUGCUAUUUCUCUUGAACCUCCCGAUAAUCCUAUGAAUCUCUCUAGACAUCCCAUGCAUAAGAGUCACCAAGACCACAAGGAGGAUCGAGAAGAGCAACAUCAAUGGCUAGAGGGCAUUAAAAAUUCAUGUGCUAUCACCAUUGAAUGGAUGGAUAAAACAGACUUGAGAGACAAUCCUAGAGGAAUUUUUAGCAUUCAUGAAGAAUCAUCAUUGGAGUUUGAGAAUGAGAGAAACAACAGUGAGCAUGGA
rnacentral:lncRNA from 1 species